rnacentral:rRNA from 1 species
GAUGAACGCUGGCGGCGUGCCUAAUACAUGCCAGUCGAGCGAACAGAUGAGGAGCUUGCUCCUCUGACGUUAGCGGCGGACGGGUGAGUAACACGUGGAUAACCUACCUAUAAGACUGGGAUAACUACGGGAAACCGGAGCUAAUACCGGAUAAUAUAUUGAACCGCAUGGUUCAAUAGUGAAAGACGGUUUUGCUGUCACUUAUAGAUGGAUCCGCGCCGCAUUAGCUAGUUGGUAAGGUAACGGCUUACCAAGGCAACGAUGCGUAGCCGACCUGAGAGGGUGAUCGGCCACACUGGAACUGAGACACGGUCCAGACUCCUACGGGAGGCAGCAGUAGGGAAUCUUACGCAAUGGGCGAAAGCCUGACGGAGCAACGCCGCAUGAGUGAUGAAGGUCUUCGGAUCGUAAAACUCUGUUAUUAGGGAAGAACAAAUGUGUAAGUAACUAUGCACGUCUUGACGGUACCUAAUCAGAAAGCCACGGCUAACUACGUG